AAGAUAUCAAGUGGUGUAUGGAGGAAUCUCAUGAAAAAUGCAAUUAGCACUCACAGGAUUUAUGGAGAGGAAUUUGAUGACAGUGAGUUUGAGUACAUCAUGCAGCCUAUGUCAGCAGAACUGAGGGCUGUGAUCAACAAGGCAGAUACCAUAGCUAUGCCAAGACUGCUGGUUGACUUGCUGCUGGGCAAAAUUGAUGUUGACAU